GGAGUUCCAGCUCUUCGGAGUAUUUCACUUGCGAAGAAGAUAACAUCUCAAGCACAUCCUCACCUGGCAGCGAGAUGUCUGAUUCUGAGUUGGAUGUCGUCGAGACGGAGCUAAACCACAUAUUCAUGGACCUACAAUUGCUUUCUCGACGGCUCCAACAGGCCAACACCAGCCCAAACCAAACGAUGCAAUCAGACAUUGGCCGAUUUCAGAAGAAACUGUUACACACGGAUGAUCGAAUUAAAAAAAUGUUUUACUGAAUGAACGUCCAAUCAAACCUGCUCUUGUCCUGUGAACAGAAGAAAGAUCGAAAUAUCUGAUCGUUUUCUGGCACAGGGAAAACCUUUGUCACCUACCUUUUGAACUCAAGGAAGAUCAGACAUCUGAUCGCCUUUUGGCACAGGAAAACUUACCUCCGCUGCCAGGUGAAGUCAGGGGAUAUCAAAACAUCUAGUCGUCUUGUGGCACGAGGCAAAUUUCGAUCAGUUGUCUGCUGAAAUCAAGGAGCAUUAAAAACUGUUUACCUUUUGGCACAGUCAAGCUGAUUUCCACAACCAUGUGAACUCAAGAAAGGUCGAAAAAUCUGAUCGUCUUCUGGCAGAAGGCAAGCCUUUAUUAGUUGCCUGCUGAACUCAA